UCUGCGCAUAUUUGAACCCAUGAGGGAAAAUCUCCAUGCAGGAAAUGAAUUUUAAAAAUCCACCGAAAAGACAGAUGAAGCAGGUUCCGGAGGCGGCUGUAGCACCGGCUUGGCGUGUGCCAGGAACCAGCUCCUCCGGGAGAACGGCAGGCAGGUAAAGGAUUCGUGUUGAAGGGGUCGUGGGGGGCUCUGGCUGCCAGAUCCUUUUUCUGUGCAGGUGACCCCAUGGCGGCGCGGAGGAGGGACGAAGAGACAGCAGCGACCGUUCCAGGCUCCCCCACCAGUCCCUGCUCGGCCAGAAACACCGGUCUGCUUUGAACUGCCCACGGGCAAACCAUACAUCAACGCAGCCUUCUGAGCCAGGAGUUGAGCACGAGUGGGUUGCAGAGAUUUCAGAAAAUGGGCACAAAAGACAACCAACAGGAGCUACUCCAGAGUGCGGUUUUCCCCGCUAGACCUUGACCUUAUCAGGAUAAAGAGCUGUUUCAGGAAACACUUGGGGCCUGUGUGCGCUGGGCCGCACCUUCGCUCUUCUACUUGCCGAGACGCCCCUUCCGUCCCCGUGGCGUGGAAGGCCGCGGGCGGCCCCCCGGCACGUCCAGGCCCCGAGCGUCGGCCGCGGGACGCAGGCGCGCAGGCCUCUCCCCGCGCGCCCCGCUCCGCGCGGACGACGACGACGACGGCCGGGAAGAAAACAAGACCAGGCUGCGCCACCCUCCCGUCCCCUUUCCGUCUCCCAGGCUCCCAUGCCUCCCUCUUCUUUCUUCACAAUGAAAAAGCCACUUAAAACCCCGAGACCCUUUCCGUUGGCGGAGCAAACAGAUAAAAACGGAGGCAAACGUGACAACGGGCCGAGACCCGCCCCCUCCCCGCUGACUCCGCCCCCUGCCCCGCCCCCACCGGGGGGAGGUGGACUGGGGACUGCAAAUUCCACAUUGUCUGGAUUAUGAGGUUGCAGGUUACUCUCGUAACGACAGAUCUUUUGCUGUCACGGAAUUUUAGCCCCAAAUACGGUCAGUUUAAGCGGUAACUGUCUUCCGUGGGAUUUAGGUAACGCGCGGGGGGAGGCUCCGGAAGGCUCCCACCUCCACAGCAGAGCAGAGAAUAUUCCACCCAGGUUUCCGUUCACUUCUCCGCUUUGGCCUCAAAAACUUCCAUGACUCUAGAGAUGUUCUAAUGGCUGCGACCACCUCUACCAGGCCUAAGGCCCGUGUGAAUGUCGACACUAUCCCUUUGUUUUGUGUAUUUAAUUCAGGUCUAAUUGGCAGCAUUGUAAGAUAUUCACGUGUGCACUGCAAUGAUUUGAUAUAUAUGUAUCCGCAGUGGAAGGAUUCCUCCCUAUCGGCUUUACUCUAAAGCAAGUGUAGGGGAAAUGCCUUUUCUUAGCAGAGUAGA